ACAUAGCCAAGUGGACCAAGGCAGUGGAUUGUGAAUCCACCACGUGCGGGUUCAAUUCCUGUCGU
rnacentral:tRNA from 1 species